rnacentral:lncRNA from 1 species
GAAAAAAAAAAAAAAGCAGAGUUUUCAGCCCUGAUUUGCUUGUACGCUGAGUCAAAUCUCGACAUCAGGGGUCACCUAGUUCCCUGUGUGAUGCAUCUGGCCGCCACGCAGGAAGCCCCUGUGGGAGGUACCCGACUCUAGCCCCAUGACUGCUUCUGAAUUGGGAAACCGCAGCGACUACAUUUGGCUCUUUUUCCCCUCAAGGUAUGUGCUCCCCCACGUUAUCACACCCUUCUUUACUACCAACAGCUUGCAGAAUUCAGAACAGAGUCAAAUUAUAGCGGAGGCUACUGUCAAUGCAAGACAAGGUGUGUUCACAGAGGCCCGCUGGGCCCAGGUGUAGGAAUAAAGGAGUAAAGGCCCCCCCAGUUAGGGCUCGACUACUCACCUGAAACAUCUGCAUCAGAAUCCCUGUGACAAAAGGUUUUCCAGAACCACAGUUUGGAGCAGCAGGCUGGGGUGCCACAUCUUCUGUUUGAAUGCGACACCAUUUGUGCUUUUUAAAACCUGCUUUCAUUGCAGCACUAUUCACAAUAGCCAAGACCUGGAAACAACCCAAAUGUCCAUAGACAGAGGAAUGGAUUAAGAAGACGCGAUACAUAUAUACGAAGGAAUACUACUCAGUCAUAAAAAGGACAAAAUAAUGCCAUUUGCAGCAACAUGGAUGGAGCUAGAGCUUCUCAUAGAAAGACAAAUGCUAUAUGGUAUCACUUAGCUUUGAAGGUAUAGCAGGUGGAUUGCAUCGUAAGAAGCCGAUGACACCUGCCGCUGAGCCACCACAGGAACUCCGUUAUUUUAUUUUAAAGUGUGAAGACUUGCACAAAACAGCUGUCCAGUUUGUGGCAAAGGAUCAUAUUCCCACCCACAGAAGAAGAGAAGACGAAUGGAACCCUUGCAGUGACAAUGGAAAAGGAAGACAAAGAUCCAGCCCCCAACUACCAUUCAUGCCAUGGAGCUACUAAAUAAUUGGGAAAAGCAGGUUUGAUCCCCUGGCCUCACUCAGCGGGUUAAGGAUUGGACGCCACCAUGAGCCGUGGUGUAGGUCGCAGAUGCAGCUCGACCUGGCAUUGCUGUGACUGUGACGUGGGCUGGCAGCUGCAGCUCAGAUUCGA